UGGGGAAUAUUGCACAAUGGGCGCAAGCCUGAUGCAGCCAUGCCGCGUGUGUGAAGAAGGCCUUCGGGUUGUAAAGCACUUUCAGCGAGGAGGAAGGGUAGUGUGUUAAUAGCACAUUGCAUUGACGUUACUCGCAGAAGAAGCACCGGCUAACUCCGUGCCAGCAGCCGCGGUAAUACGGAGGGUACAAGCAUUAAUUGGAAUUACUGGGCGUAAAGCGCACGCAGGCGGUUUGUUAAGUCAGAUGUGAAAUCCCCGCGCUUAACGUGGGAACUGCAUUUGAAACUGGCAAGCUAGAGUCUUGUAGAGGGGGGUAGAAUUCCAGGUGUAGCGGUGAAAUGCGUAGAGAUCUGGAGGAAUACCGGUGGCGAAGGCGGCCCCCUGGANAAAAGACUGACGCUCAGGUGCGAAACGCGUGGG
rnacentral:rRNA from 1 species